AGAACCUAGUUCGGAUGGAACAAAAUAUUCCUAUAAUUACAAAUAAUCUAGAGAAGAUUCUUCCACCUGGAUUUUGGGAUGUGAUAGAAUAUCUUCCUGUACAUCUUGUGCAUGAAGCUCGUCUGGGAGGUUCGGUUCAAGGUCGAUGGAUAUAUCCAUUUGAGAGGUAAUUAUUGUAAAUCUUAAUAUAUUUCUCUCCAUUAAUGCUUUUUUUAGAAAUAUCAUAAUAUAAUAUUAUAUAGGACUAUUGGCAAGAAUAAACAGAGUAUCAAGCAACAACAUAGAAUUGAAGGCUCAAUGUGUGAAGCCUAUCUUGCUAAGGAAACAUCCAAUUUUUGUUCGUAUUACUUUGCAUGUGAUGUUCCAUGUUCACAAAAUAGGACUAAUCGCCGCGAUGAUGGUGGUGAGGUUGCUAAAGAGCCGCUAUCAAUCUUUGAUCAACCAAGCGAAGGUUCGAAAAAUCGUACAAGGAGGCAUCUUAGUUCACUGGAGUUUAACUCUGCAUCAAUACAUGUCUUGUUGAAUUGCCCUCAAGUUAAACCAUUUCUUGAGAAAAGGAGCUUGGGAGGCCGAUAACACAGGUGAGGUUUUCAAGGCUACACACACAGGGAAGAAGAAAACCCCUGGAGAUCCUGAUGUUUGGGUUGAGCCACGAGCUCAACUGACCUAUAGGAUUUUCGCCGGAUUCUGCCAGAUAAUAGUCAAGACCUGCCACUUAGCCAAGAGCAGAAUGAGAGAAUAUGGUUAGAUACGGUUGGUGGUCCGAGUAGGUAUGGGUAUGCUUAUGGCUUGCCACAAGGAACCUUUCGUGAAUUUAAUUCGGAACGAGACGAUUUUGGCUUUGAAGCAGCAGAUAGCUGAGUUAUCUAAUGAUGUUAAGUUUUCAAAGGCAACGGAAAAGUAAAGGGAUAUACAAUAUGCGGGAAUGAAGGCCCAAUUCAAUUUAUUACUUGCUUCGGGAGGGAUUACCCCUUGUCCUGUGAUGCAGUUUGCCCUCCUCGACCACCCCAAUCUCUGUCUAUUUCACAUGGAGUAUAUGGUCAAUACAGAGAUGUGACUGAGGAGCCCAACAAUGAUGAAGAUGAUAAGGAUUAUUACGUGGACAAUACACCACCGCGUUGUUAAAAUCGGGUGUUGUGUUAGAUAAUCUAAACUAUAUACUUUAUGA